GGAGGCGGCAGCUUACACAUGCAGUCGAGCGCACUCUUCGGAGUGAGCGGCGGACGGGUUAGUAACGCGUGGGAACGUGCCCUUCUCUAAGGAAUAGCCACUGGAAACGGUGAGUAAUACCUUAUACGCCCUUCGGGGGAAAGAUUUAUCGGAGAAGGAUCGGCCCGCGUUAGAUUAGAUAGUUGGUGGGGUAAUGGCCUACCAAGUCUACGAUCUAUAGCUGGUUUUAGAGGAUGAUCAGCAACACUGGGACUGAGACACGGCCCAGACUCCUACGGGAGGCAGCAGUGGGGAAUCUUGGACAAUGGGCGCAAGCCUGAUCCAGCCAUGCCGCGUGAGUGAUGAAGGCCUUAGGGUCGUAAAGCUCUUUCGCCAGAGAUGAUAAUGACAGUAUCUGGUAAAGAAACCCCGGCUAACUCCGUGCCAGCAGCCGCGGUAAUACGGAGGGGGUUAGCGUUGUUCGGAAUUACUGGGCGUAAAGCGCACGUAGGCGGAUCAGAAAGUAUAGGGUGAAAUCCCAGGGCUCAACCCUGGAACUGCCUUGUAAACUCCUGGUCUUGAGUUCGAGAGAGGUGAGUGGAAUUCCGAGUGUAGAGGUGAAAUUCGUAGAUAUUCGGAGGAACACCAGUGGCGAAGGCGGCUCACUGGCUCGAUACUGACGCUGAGGUGCGAAAGUGUGGGGAGCAAACAGGAUUAGAUACCCUGGUAGU
rnacentral:rRNA from 1 species